UAGGCCUCGGGAGGCGGAAGGUGCCAGCGGUGCUUGGCGUGAUUCUGCUGUCUCAAGGAGAGUAGACUGAAGCUGAUCCAGGAGAGCUCAUGGACCAAAUCCACAGCACUCAGACUCUUUAUGAACUACACAGAGAAGAAAAGGACAAACCCAUGGAGGGAACUGGUGCUACAAAUGGUGCUGGGGGUCCCCUGACAAUGGGAUUUCUGCCUCCCCACCGUUCUGCAAGCAGCACAUGCCAGGGUG